GUACUCGAGAUAAUGCUCGUUGCCGUCACAAUGCAAUGUAACAGUGCGCCUAACUACAAGUUGCUAUGUAUGUAUAGGUAGCCUAGUGAAGAUACAGAUAUAUUUCAUCAGUCCAUCACCUGUCAUUUCUGCAAUCGAUCAAGCCAGAGAAUUCCUGCAAACCACUUCAUAUUGUCGAUUGAUCAUGCUAGUUGCAUAUCUGAUAUUGUGAGUGGCGAAGAUCUACAUAGAAGAGCAGAAUACUACUGUAUGACAAGUUGCCAACCCCCUAUAAAUAUCACAACUCCAACGCAUCAAAAAAUGUCCAAGUUAGAUCUAGAUUAAACAUAAUUAAGCAAGGCAUUUCAGAUUGGCACCACCACUGUGAAGCAUGAAGGCCGCUACAGUCCUUGUGUUGGUCCUACUGGUGAUUACAUACUCUGCUGCUGCAGCUCCGGCGCGGAAGUUGGCAGGAGAUGACGGGCAGCAGACAGGCGAAAUGGUGACGAAGACGGAGGUGAACGUACUAAACGGGAGGACAGGUUCUGGCGACGGUGAGCAUAACUGCCGAAUGAGCUGGUUCGUCCCCGCUUCUUGCAAACCAGGUCCGUAAAAACCUGCUUAUAAAUCGUCAUGGUUAAAUGGAGAACUCCGUGAACCAACGAGGAAUCAAGAAGUACUGCAGGGAAUGGUUUAUAUAUGAAUAAAGAGACCAAUGGUCUACAAGAAAAAGGCAGUCUAUUUUAGGUUAUACUAGUAUAAUUGGCAGUUGUACUGCCAGAAACAUGGAUGUAAUUAGCAGGUAUAAUAUACUAUCCUCGCAGCCAUAAAAGCAUGGUAUGUUUAUGUAUACCUUCGGAUUGUAUGUAUUAUGAA